GGUCGGGUGUGUAAGUGUAGCGAUACAUUGAGCUAACCGAUACUAAUGAACCGUGAGGCUUAACCUUACAACGCCGAAG
rnacentral:rRNA from 1 species